UUCUGGCGUCCACCUUUAUCCAAACAUUUCGGGUUUGAUGAAAAUAAGGAUGCCGUUAAAGAAUUUAAAUAUACUAAUAUGAGAGGGAAAAAAUCUUCGGUAUUCCUGUUAGAAGGUAUAUAUAUGGAACCAAAAAAGCUGCCGUACUCGGACAGAGGGGGUCUGGCUCUCCUUAAAAAUACGAAGGUUUUACAGCUAGAUUCUGUCCCAAAAAAAAAGUUGUAUUGGACAAUGGAC